AGAGUUUGAUCAUGGCUCAGGACGAACGCUGGCGGCGUGCUUAACACAUGCAAGUCGAACGGUGACGAUUGGAGCUUGCUCUGAUCUGAUCAGUGGCGAACGGGUGAGUAACACGUGAGUAACCUGCCCCAGACUCUGGAAUAACCCCGGGAAACCGGAGCUAAUACCGGAUACGAAACGGAGCCGCAUGGCUACUGUUUGGAAAGUUUUUCGGUCUGGGAUGGACUCGCGGCCUAUCAGCUUGUUGGUGAGGUAAUGGCUCACCAAGGCGACGACGGGUAGCCGGCCUGAGAGGGCGACCGGCCACACUGGGACUGAGACACGGCCCAGACUCCUACGGGAGGCAGCAGUGGGGAAUAUUGCACAAUGGGCGAAAGCCUGAUGCAGCGACGCCGCGUGAGGGAUGACGGCCUUCGGGUUGUAAACCUCUUUCAGCAGGGAAGAAGCGAAAGUGACGGUACCUGCAGAAGAAGCACCGGCUAACUACGUGCCAGCAGCCGCGGUAAUAC
rnacentral:rRNA from 1 species